rnacentral:rRNA from 1 species
AUACGGAGGAUCCGAGCGUUAUCCGGAUUUAUUGGGUUUAAAGGGAGCGUAGGCGGACUAUUAAGUCAGCUGUGAAAGUUUGCGGCUCAACCGUAAAAUUGCAGUUGAUACUGGUCGUCUUGAGUGCAGUAGAGGUAGGCGGAAUUCGUGGUGUAGCGGUGAAAUGCUUAGAUAUCACGAAGAACUCCGAUCGCGAAGGCAGCUCACCGGGCCGGAACUGACACUGAUGCUCGAAAGUGCGGGUAUCAAACAGGAUUAGAUACCCUGGUAGUCCGCACAGUAAACGAUGAAUACUCGCUGUUUGCGAUAUACAGUAAGCGGCCAAGCGAAAGCAUUAAGUAUUCCACCUGGGGAGUACGCCGGCAACGGUGAAACUCAAAUGAAUUGGCGGGG